rnacentral:lncRNA from 1 species
CAAACAGCCAGCUACACUUUGCUCGAAAUUUGCAAAGCAUCUUUUGAGAAUGAAAAAACUGUACGGUGUGGUUUCUCCAACAAUAAAUAAUUAUAGGAGUAAAAUAUUAAAAUUGACAGUAAAAGAUUAUAACACUUCAAAUCUAAAUAUAGAAAAACUAAAAUUAAUUUAUAUUCAUAAAACAUAAAAUUUUAUAGAUAAAGCUACCUAAAUCCUAAAAAUAUAUCAAAAAAAUUCUAAAUUACCUCUCUACUCUAAUUUAAUCACUCUCAAAAAUUCCUCUUCACCAGUUGAAUUCAAACCACACAAGUGUGAACCGCCAGCCACAAUAAUGCUCAUCAUUGAAACAUUUCGAAACUCUCUCUAUGAAAUUCGCAACGCAAGCAUUACUUUCCCAACACCGAAUUCGAGAACUUUCCUUCAUAUUAACACCACCUGAGAAACCCGACCCGGAUGAUAUGGACGCGAAUGAUGCUCCAUCUUCCUCUAUCUCUGCUAUCUUCGCCGAUGACUAUGGUGCGUCAUGGAAGAUGACGAGGGAGCUCCCUCCUCGGACUGAAACGUUAGCUGUGAUACCAUUGGAGGCUGUGCUACUGUGUUGACUCUGUUUUUCUGGGUUCUAGCCGUUGUGAUUUUGAUCUUCUACGCAUGAAGAAUAACGGCAACUAUCUCCAACAAAACGCGGUAGCUGAUGAUGAGCUUGAAAUCGAUAAGGCUUAGAAAUUUUUGUCAAGCGUUGUUGUCGGUAAAGAACUUGUUGAGAAUGAUGAUGAGAUGAUGAAUUUGAAAUCGAUGGGAUUUUGGGAUUUCUGUCAGGUGUUGCUGUUAGUGGUGUUGAGAAUUGAGAUUGAAGUGGAAUAGAUGAGGGAAGAGAGGAAAUAGAAGAAGGAUUGAGAUAUUGAGAGUGAUAAAGAGGAUUGGAAAUGCAUAUGAGAUGGAAUUAGAGGUUAGACGUUAGAGUGAUUAGGUUAGAAUCGGUUCGGCUAGGAACCAACUAAGAUUCAGUCAACUUCUGUCAACUUUUUAAUUGAUUG